UCUUAGGUCUGCUGUUGCCUCAGUGCUUCUCCUCCAUUUACUGCUCCCUCCUUCUAUCUAUAUCCUAAGCGAAGAUGACUUAGGAGAAUGGUAACUGAAAUAACAGUUCUGCCUUACACAGACCUGACUUGCCUUCUCAAGGAAGGGAGCAGAAAAAGGAGCAGAUUUGAGCUAUGCAAAGAUCUUGUGCAUCUGCAGCAGUGAGGAUUCACAAUUCCAGCCAAGCAACAUGCCUGGUUGUCCAGAUUCCCCUUGUAUUUUCCUUUAAUAUUGAAGUAAUAACUGUAAUUACAUGGAAAUAAGAGGUCCCCUCUCAGGACUGGGCUUUGUUCAUGUGCAAACACAAGGGUGAUUAACAAACCAGGAACAUGGCUGUGAGUUUGGGAGUCGGUGAUGGAUGUCAGUCUGACCCUUGUAUCCCAAUGCAGCUUAAAGAAGAAAACAAGCAGCUUGCAUUUUUUUUUUUCUUAAUCAUCUAAAAUUUCCAUUCAUGUUAUCCUUCUGUAAUACCCAUCUAAAAGCAUGCUAGCAUUGGGCUCUACAAAUUUCUGCAGAAUCUCCUGGGAGCAGCAAGAGCCGCUGAAGAAGCAAUAUUUGGAUGGGAAACUUAUGUCCUCCAAGCUGGCGAGUUGCAACACUGACACAGAUUUUUCUUGUCGCUGCAAAACUCUCCUUGUAAAAGAUGUCCCUGAGGAUUUGAAGAACAGUGAUUUGAAGUGAUUGCAUUGGGUAAGGACAUUAUACAAUGCAAAUACAAUUGGACACAAGCAUUUAAUUUUUAAAAAACACUGCUAUCGGAGAGCCUUUCAGCCAGUGCAAACAACAGUUUAACUUCCCUCACACAGCCUGACUCUGGAAUCCCCCAAGGACAGAGAAGCAAAGCGGGGCUGGUUUCAAUCCAGAGGUGUUUUGUCCAGUGAUAUGGAUGGGAUUGCUCUGAACUGUCUCCCUCAGCCCUCCGUUGGGGUUUUGCUACCCUGAGAGGCAGCAGAUGUGGGGUGUCCCUGUGCUGAUCACCCUAUGGAGCACAGUCAAGCCCUGGGUGCUGACUUCCCAGCAGUGAGAGCAGCAAGCUCAGGGACAAAUGGUAAAGGUAAUUAGUUGUCCCCCUCAGGUGGGAUUUUUAUUGCUCCAUUUGGGUUCUCGUGGAGUGAGAAGAAUAAAAGGAGAGGGUUUAAAAUGAUCAUUGCAUAAUAAGUGGCAGCAGCCUUGUUAAUGUGCUGACUGCCUACAAACAGCUGCUAGUCAAACACCCAUAAGGGCUGGCUCUGCACAUAACCUUCUGCCUUCCUGCAAAUGGUUUAACUCCAUCAGCUCCUUGCCCUUUCCUAUGCAGGCACUGAAAACUCAGGAUUUGGAGCAUGGAAAGCACAAAUCCAGGGUAGCCAGUGGGGCUCCCAUAGGGUCCCCAAAGGUUCCCCUGGGUAUCCCUUUGGAUGUCUUUGAGAAAACCUUUCCCUCUGCAAGGAAGAGGUUCCCAAAAGCAGUGAGAGGGGGAGAGAUUCUUCUGGAACAUCAAUAGGUCUAAAUUCAAGGAUUCCGAUUUUUCCCUUGCUUUUGCCACCACAAAUGAGAGCUGGAUCCCAAUGAGUCUUAACUCCACAGAGUCAGCACUCAUUUCUGUAUGCCUGAGUCCUUCCACCACCCAUAAAAGCCUUUUGUGAUCAGUGUAACUCUGCCCAUCUGAGCAUUUCCCAACUAUUUACAUAGGAAGAAAUGAGCACUGCUUUUACUCUCUGACUCUCCAAACUACAGGAAACAAGGAACCUAGACAGAGGGAGUGGGGAAAGAUGUCCCUACUUUCCCUUGUGACUUUCCAGGCUGUCAGCACAGCCUUGGGAGGACACUAACAGGAGGAGAAAGGCAGAUCCUUGUGGUUCCCCACAGGGAGCAAGCCUGGGUAGUGCAGGGAUUAUCUGCAGCAGCUUUUGUUUGGGUCUGGAAGGGAGCGCUGAGGGCACUGCAAAGUGUUAUGGCAAUGUGAAGACACUGAAGCACUUCUCAAAGCACCCCUGUGGACCUAUUAAUUGCAAUAUUGGAUCUUUCAUCUUUUUCAGCAGGUUCCCAGCAAUAGGCAUGCAGCCAGCUUGGCUGGGGUUUUGUUUAUUUUCCAGUUAAUGUAGAAAUAGAAAUCAAUUCCAGCUAACAAAGAUAGGAAUUUCAGAAAAAAAAGUUCAAUUCCCAUGGACCAUUUGUGGCAUAUGCCUGGAAAGUAUUUACUGGUAGCAGGGCAAUUAGGGUAGUGAUAGGGCAGGGGACCAGGAACGUCUCCCAGAAGUGAGUGUGAAUCAUAGGAAGCCUAUCAUCAGCAAGGCGAGAUAAGUAUCUUUGCUGUGUUGAUUACCACUAGCUAGAUGGGAAAAUUGUGUUUGGAAGCAUGGCAGCACACACAAAACCCGGCUGCAAAUGCUCCCUAUGGCAGUUCUCCCUCAGGGUGGUAAGAGGCAGCUGAGUGGUGCUCAUCUGACGUCCUGUUGCAAUAAGUGUGACUGCCCAAACUGAGUAACCAGCACUUGUUACCAACCCUAUUAAGCUUUAAGUGGCACUUUAGCCUUGCUCGCUUGUGCUGGGCUUGGGUUAUUUAACACAUGGACUCUGGCCACAUGGCCCAACUGGAGCAUAAACUGCCAGAAACUUAAACACUUGUUCACUUCUCCACUGCCAGAUUUCCCUCACCUUCAUCAGGGCAGAGCUGCCAAGAGUGUUAUGUGAGUUCUUGCCAGGAGCAUCUGUGAAUUAUGGAUAUCAAUACCCGGUGACUUUCUAUAGGUCACAUUUUUGGCCCCGUGAACACAGAGUGGCGAUGUGGGGCUUUCCAGCACGCCUGCUAUGUCCCUGAGCAAUAUUGAAUGGAUAUAACAUUGAUAACAUUUGCCUUUUUCAGUGACUUGAGUGAGAUUUCUCUAGGUGCCACCCUUUGGGUUCUGCAGGUCACUGCUUACCAUGCUCAAGCCCUUUGCAUUUAUCUUCUCUGUUUUCUCAUUUUUAAAUAUGCAAGUAUAACAGUGGAACACUUCAAAACCCUGACUAUGUGCAGAUCUGAAGGGCAUUUAAGCUCUUGAAGCCAUAUUCUGAGAAGUGUGAAGAUGUUGUGCAGUCCCUUCCCUGGAUGCUGGCUGCUUCUAGCCUCAGUACCAUCCUGUGCAGCCUUUGGGGGAGGAGAGAUCUGGGCUGAGCGUGCAGCAGGAAUGCAAGGCUUUAGGUUGAAAACACUGAGUGUGAGUCAUAAUUCUCCAGAAACUGAACAAAAAAAGAAAAAGAUGCACCAGCUGCGAUACAGGGAGGUUUUGAAAAUCUCUGAUUUGCUCUGUUUGAAGUAUAUAACUACAGCGGGUCUGCUAGAAAAACCUGAAUGAAAGCAAUGAGGUCCAAACUCGGCUGAACACCCCCGGCUCUGUGUCACUAGGGAUUUAACACUACAGAGGGACAAAUCCAAGGGAGCAGAGGGCAGGCAGACCCACGGGCGGCUCCUUUGGGAACGGCCAAUACUGCGUUUUCUCUCUGCGUUCAGCACCACGGACAGCACCGGGCCGUUCACUGCCGUUCCGUAUCUUGAGCCAACUUGGGUUGGCGCCGUCCCCAAGAGAAGGGAAUAAAAGGAGACAGAUCCACGCUCUACGCAUCUCUCUGCUGGCCCCAACAGCCGGCAUGUCAUCCGGGUCCAGCCGCAGCCUCUAUUUGUUGCACCGUUUCUUUACCACUGGGAACCUCAGCGAUGCUAAACGCUCAGAAGGAGCUUGGAGUUCUGAUCUGAUCCCCAAGCUGACCUGUGGUGUACGGUUUAAUGAGGCUGGUUUAUGUAUGCCAUACCCCAAAUCUAAAGGUCAGGGGUUGGGGGCCAUAAAUAUUCAC